UGGCAGCGCCAGGCUAUUGUGGCUCUGGCUGUGUUCAGAGGCUGAGGAAUUGCAGUAAUGCUCAUUCUGCAGCUUCACAAUGCAGCAGUGUCUUUGCUGGAUGCUUCUGCUCAUGACCACGUUGAUUGCUUGCAUAACAACAGCACUUUGGAUACUCCGGAGAUUUCUGCUUGAAGGACACCUUUCCAUAGACAACCUCACUCUUUCAGUCGUUUGAGGCAGAGAGCACAGGCUUUUUAUAUGGUGCAUGGAUUUCUACUGCUUAUUGAUCAAAGGCAGUAGAAAAUAAAUAUACCUGUGCCAGGAUUAAGACAUACAGGAAGAAGGACGAGAGCCUGUAAUUGGAAUGCUGCCACUGGAUAAUAAUGAUGAGCACUUCUCAUCUUCAAAGGGCUUUCAGCCUCCCUAGCCAACACACAUAUCUGCUGCCUUAGGAAGAUGAGCCAUAAACAAACACACUAUUUUCCCUUAUUGGAACCCAGUGGAUGAACUUUAUGCAGCUGGUGAACAGACAUGGAAAUAUUCUGACUGAUGUUAUUAAUAAUUACUGUCUACCUGGAGAAUUUACAACAUUUAAAAACCUCAUUAGUAAAACCCAAAACACUACCUUUUCCUCUUUCUGGUCAUCUUCCCUCUUCA